AUGCACGCUGGCGGCGUGCCUCAUACCUGCAAGUCGAGCGCACAGACGAGGAGCUUGCUCCUCUGACGUUAGCGGCGGACGGGUGAGUAACACGUGGAUAACCUACCUAUAAGACUGGGAUAACUUCGGGAAACCGGAGCUAAUACCGGAUAAUAUAUUGAACCGCAUGGCUCAAUAGUGAAAGACGGUUUUGCUGUCACUUAUAGAUGGAUCCGCGCCGCAUUAGCUAGUUGGUAAGGUAACGGCUUACCAAGGCAACGAUGCGUAGCCGACCUGAGAGGGUGAUCGGCCACACUGGAACUGAGACACGGUCCAGACUCCUACGGGAGGCAGCAGUAGGGAAUCUUCCGCAAUGGGCGAAAGCCUGACGGAGCAACGCCGCGUGAGUGAUGAAGGUCUUCGGAUCGUAAAACUCUGUUAUUAGGGAAGAACAAAUGUGUAAGUAACUAUGCACGUCUUGACGGUACCUAAUCAGAAAGCCACGGCUAACUACGUG
rnacentral:rRNA from 1 species